rnacentral:rRNA from 1 species
UACGUAGGGUGCAAGCGUUGUCCGGAAUUAUUGGGCGUAAAGCGCGGGCAGGCGGCCCGCUCAGUCGGCCGUGAAAGCGCCGGGCUCAACUCGGCGAGGUCGGGCGAUACUGGCGGGCUCGAGGCUGGUAGAGGGCGGUGGAAUUCCGGGUGUAGUGGUGGAAUGCGUAGAGCUCCGGAGGAACACCAGUGGCGAAGGCGGCCGCCCUGGGCCAGCCGCCUGGACCGCUGAGCCGGCCGAA